GGUCCGCUGGCUCAAUGGCAGAGCGUCUGACUACGACUUCAAGAAGUUAUCAGGAGGUUCCAGGUUCGACCCCUGGGUGGAUCG